GUUAAAACCAACUGCUUACAAAUAUCUUCCCCUACUCUCAAGGGACAUGAUCUAAAUAUGAACCAUCACAGGCACCGAGAUUUUUGGCUAGAAACUCCUCCUACUGACACAGUAUCCUGUUCCCUGAGGUGAGCCAGAGGCAUUCUUUCCAUAGCCUCUUCCUCAGAAGAGAGGCAGAAGCACUCACUGGCUUUCGCGGUGCUGGCCUGGGUUUUAAUACCAAUCUAGCCUCUCAGUGAUUGAGCCAAGGUUACUUUGGUCAUGGUGUUUCAUUGAAGCAAUAGUAAAUCUAAGACAACAUCUCAUGGUCCUGUCAUCUCCAGCAUCUAGGAGGUCUUCAUUGUAACUCAGGCUUUACCUGUAGUGUUUCAUAAAAUGGCCUCUCAGGACUUUCUGAAUAAAGCUUAGCAAGUGGGAUCUACCCUCUGGCUGUGUAAUAAAGACCUGAAGAAAGCCAGCACAACUGGGCUCGCCAGUUAGCAGCUGGAGAGCUUGGAGUUUUGCUUCUCCUCAGUUUCUCAAUCUAUGAAGGAUCAAUAAAAGCAUCAUUCCCCAGAAUAAGUUCUGAAGUGAAUGAGACAAUGAUGUAAAUAACCCGACUCAAAGAGUAGCAUAGAGGAUGUAGCUAGCGACUGGGAGCUGUUGCUGCUGUAACUGCCCAGAAGUCAGUCAUUCUGCCCUCCUCUAAAUAGCUAACUGCUGCAUCCAAUCAGUUUCCAAACCCUAUUGAUUUUUAUGUAUUUUGCAUUGUUCUAAUAUAGAUGCCUUUCUG
rnacentral:lncRNA from 1 species